UACGGGAGGCAGCAGUGGGGAAUAUUGCACAAUGGGCGCAAGCCUGAUGCAGCCAUGCCGCGUGUAUGAAAAAGGCCUUCGGGUUGUAAAGUACUUUCAGUCGUGAGGAAGGUGUUAAGGUUAAUAACCUUAGCAAUUGACGUUAGCGACAGAAGAAGCACCGGCUAACUCCGUGCCAGCAGCCGCGGUAAUACAGAGGGUGCGAGCGUUAAUCGGAAUUACUGGGCGUAAAGGGCACGCAGGCGGUUAAUUAAGUUGGAUGUGAAAUCCCCGGGCUUAACCUGGGAAUGGCAUUCAAGACUGGUUAGCUAGAGUCUUGUAGAGGGGGUUAGAAUUCCAUGUGUAGCGGUGAAAUGCGUAGAGAUGUGGAGGAAUACCGGUGGCGAAGGCGGCCCCUGGACAAAGGCUGACGCUCAUGUGCGAAAGCGUGGGGAGCAAAC
rnacentral:rRNA from 1 species